CAUGAUUGCUCAGGCCAGCUGUAAGAAAACCCACACAUUUGUCAGGCAGUGAUUUUGUAAGAAAUCGCUGGCAUUGGCUUAUAUAAUUGAAAAUUCUGGAAAUUUACAUUAUUUCCUUGUUUAAAUACAGUCUAUAGUUUAGGUGUAAGAGAUUCCCCAGAUUUAUUUUCUAUCAUUGUGUAGCUUAUACACGAAACUCUUUUUAGUCUGAUUCGGCUUGACACGCUCAUUACAGAAUGAUAGUCACACAUUUGGAAGCAGUGAAGAUAAAUUAUCCCCUUUGCUAUCACUGACUAUUUGUUGGAUUAAUCCUCGAGAAAUGAUGGGCUUGGAUGUAACUGAUCACACUUAAGCCAUUAGUUGGCCGUUAAGGACUAUAAUCACUCAAUGAUUUUAUGAUACCAACCUGAAAGGCACAAUCUGUUACAGUGGUUAUUGCAAUGUUUUGGAGCUAGUUAGCAAUCUCUUUAACCACAGUACUAUUUAAGCACAUUUGUUUGACAUAAACAGACUGAUAGUGUUUUACACAUGGGCAAAAUUUUAUAGCUCAAUUGACAUUCCUAUCUUGUUUUGAACAAAAUUCCACAAGCUUGAAAAUGUCAGAGUUAUUCUUGUGGAAAAUGCAUUUUUGCUGGUUGGCAAUAGGCCUAUUCAUCUUAUUUUAUCCUUUCAGAUAUAACAUUAAUCUCAGUGCUGAGAUAUCAUGACUAAAAAGCACUCAAUUUAUAUACAUCAUGGUUUACAAAAUAGCAAGCGGGUAUUCUGUGCAGUUAUGAAACCUGAAUUAAGGACUGUAAGUUACUGUGGCAUGGAGAUACCCAGUUAUUGACAUCAUUCAGUUAAAAUAGUAAGAGAUGUAAAGCAAGGUUCAAGAGACCAGAAUUGGUAUCCAUUUCUAAUAGGUGAUCCUGUUGGGUUGAUUCUCAUACAAAAUAUGUAACUUAAUACCUAUAUUUCACUUUUCUACUGGCAUGAAUUAGACAGGAUUCUGUACUGCUCUCUCUCAAAAAUUUCCAUCCUUAAAAAGAAAAUCAGAAUUGACAAUCAUAAUAUGUUGUAAAUCCAGCGACACUCAAAAUUGAAAAUAAAACUUUGAUUGGCUUGAGUGCUGCAAGAUUUUAAAAUCUGGGUUCAUCAGUAAUAACAAGAUAUUUGUUUCAAAGUAUAUAUGCCAAGCAGAAUCAAUAUAUCAGUUUAUUACCAUUUGUCAAAUGGGCUGAACUUUUUGAAAAGAGAAGUAUUGUUUAUAUCUUCCAGAUUGAUUCUGUCAUAGAAGAGUUUUGCGAUUAUUCUUAAUCUGCAUCAACGCUAACUUGUUUUUCUAGGGGAAUGUCUUAUCAAAGUCAAUUCAGUAGGACAUACCCUUGAACAUAAGAAUAUUCAAUUAUGUCACAAAUUUGUAGCAUAUAGUAUCUGUUUAAUUAAUAGCAGUAUCUAUUCCUCAUAGUCAAGAAUUUCCACUUUAAAGAGUGGGAACACACGAGCAGUAUUAAAAGUGCUGUUGAGUUUUGUCCAUUGAAUCUGAAGUGUCUUGAGCUGUUUACCCUUUACUAUACUGAAGGCUAGCAGACACCUCUGAAAAUGCUGGCCAAUGACUUAGAGCAGAUUAUUAAACCUACCUUAGGUGGCUAGGAAUACUUACAUCCCUGAGAUAAGCAAAUGCAAUUACAACAUGUACCCUUUGCCUGAUGAUCAUCAUUCAGGGAAUUACAUUUGAAUGGACUACUGCAUCCAGCUCAUAAUUGGAUUAUGAUGCAGAGUCAAAGUCUUGAUCAAUUAUAAAGCAAAAUGGAAAAAAAAACAGCUCUUCAGUUUUAAUCCACUUUUAAUGACCUUCAUCAGUCAUUACUAUCUAGUGGCCUUCAGGCAUGUCCUCAUCUACUAAAAUUGCUAGUAUAAGCAAAGUAAAAAAUGACUAAUAAAGGAAAAUUUAAUUUUAAAAUGUAAGUAUGAACACAGAAAUAAAAAGAAAUGGGUUUGCCUUCUAGCUGAAAUUCCUUGUGAUUUAUGAAGAGGAAAUUCAACUUACCCUUCUGCUUCAAAGUGAAAUGAAAGUGCAGUUCACACAAGUCCCCUUUAUAUGGUGUCACGUUUGUUGAAUGACACCACUGAAGUGGAGACUGGAGGCUGAGGGCAUAAGUGAGCUCUUUUAGUUUUGCUCACAUAUAUGUGAUGCAAAUACUGAGAUCAGCUUUAAGGUUUGAGCAAUUUCUUAUUCUUUUAUAACAAUAGAAAGCCAAAGUUGUAGAAAAUACCAUCUAGAACUAACAGAUAACUCCAGAUUUGUAGACACAAACAAAGUGUAUAAAAACAUACAGUAACUUUCCAUGAUUCCAGGUCAUAUUGUAAAAAUUGUUUCUUGUUUUACAAAAGCAAAAAUGUCAUAUGACUACCAGUGGUUUUUGUGAAAGGAAAGGUACUCCUGUGAAUUAAGGAAGCAUGAUACCUCCCUGAUAGUCUGACCUGGAAGUCAGAAUUCUAAACUUUGCUUCCCAUCUCUGUGUAUGAUGUACUUGCCUUACCUUAAUAUAAUUUUCUAGCUGUGUGUUAUGCUCAAUGUUUCCAUGACCUUUUGGUCUCUCUUGCAUGCAGAGUACCAUUGAUCCCUUCUUGGCCAGAGACGGAUCUUGGAAAAACCUGUAUAUGUGCACAAAAUUCUCAAACGGGCAACAUUUUCAAGAAAAAAAGAAACCAGAGUUUUUGUUCCUCUGGUUUCCCAGGAAUAAAUAUUGUGAUCUUCUUGGGAAUAGCACAGACACCAGGCAACUCAGCACCAUUGAGACACAGUGCACUGAUGCAGGAAUGGGAUGAAAAAAAUGUAGAGA